GAUCCUGGCUCAGGACGAACGCUGGCGGCAUGCCUAACACAUGCAAGUCGAACGAGGUGUAGCAAUACACCUAGUGGCGGACGGGUGCGUAACACGUGAGCAACCUGCCCUUUACAACGGGAUAACACAGAGAAAUUUGUGUUAAUACGGUAUGAGACCACAGUACGGCAUCGUACAGGGGUUAAAGUUCAGGCGGUAAAGGAGGGGCUCGCGGCCCAUUAGAUAGUUGGUGAGGUAACGGCUCACCAAGUCG
rnacentral:rRNA from 1 species